rnacentral:lncRNA from 1 species
AUGUGCUCAUAUUCACACAGGAAUGGGCUUCAGCCCCUGCGAUGGGGGGCAGGUCCCCCGCAGGCUGGGGGUGCUCCCUCCUGCAUUUCCAGGCUGAAGGCACGGCACAGGCUGGGGGUCUCUGAAAUGCAGCUGCUGACAGCAGAGGCACAGCGGCACAGGCUGCCGUCCCUCCCCUGCAUGCAGGGUGCAGGAUGCGGGAGGGAAAGCUUAAAUGAGUGGCUGCCGGCUCCUUUGGUGGAGCUGCACCUUUCCUGUGUGCCUGGAGAUCGCUGUGAUUUGGGCUUACAUCUUGGGUGUGAUUUUCUGUCAGGAUUCCUGAAUUGCCUUUGUUCUGUCCGUGUCUCGGAGGGGCUCGGUGUGCCGGGGGGUGUGUUUGUGUUCCAGUCAGAAUAUGGUCGCUGUCUCUCUCCUUCCCUGUCUCUCCCCUUCCCUAAAUAUGUGCCAUACGUGUCUGUCCAUGCACUGCUCACAUCAGUCUGUGUAAUGUGGAGUGAAACUUCAGGGCUCAAAAUGGCAUCCGUUUUUUUGCCGGAUCAGACUUGCAGCUGUCGUGUUAGGACAAAAUGGGAUAAAUUGUGCCCUAUUUCCAUUUUUUUUUGCGUUUGCCCUCCUAACGUCUGCAAGCUCUGUAUUUUCCUUUGUCUGCCAAGGCUGAGGGAGCGGACUUGGAGCGGGUUGGGCAGUGGGCGUGAGGCUGUGCGGGACCUGGGUCUGGCUCAGGCAUUCGCAGCUCUGCAGGGCUCUGGGCAGGGCUGCAGGGGCCGCGUCUCGGAAGCCCCCGCGGGGCGGUCGUGGUCUCUGGUGCUGCCGCCUGGGGCGGGGGUGCCGGUGGGUGUGCAGAUCCCCCUGGGGAGCAGCACCCUCCUGGCAGAGAGGGGCUUGUGGCAGCUCUGUCACCCCCUUUUUUCCCAGCCUCGUGCUUCCUGCUGCCUGGGGCUUUACGCUGGAAGCAGCAUUGGGAUCUUCUGUCUUGGCCCCACCUGGCAGCACCGCUCACGCUCCAUUUAG